GAUGAACGCUGGCGGCGUGCCUAAUACAUGCAAGUCGAGCGAACAGAUGUGGAGCUUGCUCCUCUGACGUUAGCGGCGGACGGGUGAGUAACACGUGGAUAACCUACCUAUAAGACUGGGAUAACUUCGGGAAACCGGAGCUAAUACCGGAUAAUAUCUUGAACCGCAUGGUUCAAUAGUGAAAGACGGUUUUGCUGUCACUUAUAGAUGGAUCCGCGCCGAUUAAGCUAGUUGGUAAGGUAACGGCUUACAAAGGCAACAAUGAGUACCCGCCCUGGGAGGGUGAUCGCCCACACGGGAACUGGGAAACGGUCCAGACUCCUCCGGGAGGCAGCAGUAGGGAAUCUUCGGCAAAGGGCGAAAGCCUGACGGAGCAACGCGGCGUGAGUGAUGAAGGUCUUCGGAUCGUAAAACUCUGUUAUUAGGGAAGAACAAAUGUGUAAGGAACUAUGCACGUCGUGACGGUACCUAAUCAGAAAGCCACGGCUAACUACGUG
rnacentral:rRNA from 1 species